CAGUUUGAGCCAUUAUUGUCGAUCAUACUACAACAACUCAUCUCUCUUACGAGUCACAGUAAUGGAUUGAACAAUGUGAAGAUCCUCUUAAAGCUUGCAAGUCCUCAGUUAUUGAUCGCUCUUAUCUCCCAUUUACCCAUUGUGAAGCAGAGGGAGCGUGAUAAGCUCCGGAAGCUUAUCUAAGAUGAAAAGAACAGAAAGAAAUGGAGGGAGAGAAGUAUUGCACCUUUACGGUGAAGAAGAAGAGAGAUAAGAGAGAAAUUUAGAUUGAUAUUGUUGUUGAUCGUUUUCGAUAGAAAAAAUGUUUAUCAGCUACACGGAGUACAAGCCAACACAUCGCCACACAUGCAGACUUUAAAAAUGUCUCGUUAGCUACACGAAAUAUUGACAUCACAUACGAACAUACACGACAUCCUACUUUGACCAGAAUCCG